rnacentral:rRNA from 1 species
AUUGAACGCUGGCGGCAGGCCUAACACAUGCAAGUCGAGCGAGCGGCGGACGGGUGAGUAAAGUCUGGGAAACUGUCCCAUGGAGGGGGAUAACUAUAGUGAACGGUAGCUAAUAUCCCAUACCAUCAGAUGUGCCCACAUGGGAUUAGCUAUUGGGUGGGGUAAUGGCGCACCCAGGCAACGAUCCCUAGCUGGGCUGAGAGGAUGACCAGCCACACUGGAACUGAGACACGGUCCAGACUCCUACGGGAGGCAGCAGUGGGGAAUAUUGCACAAUGGGCGCAAGCCUGAUGCAGCCAUGCCGCGUGUAUGAAGAAGGCCUUCGGGUUGUAAAGUACUUUCAGCGAGGAGGCGUUACUCGCAGAAGAAGCACCGGCUAACUCCGUGCCAGCAGCCGCGGUAAUUC